UGCCCCAUAGUCUGGGGAUACCACUUGGGAAACAGGUGCUAAUACCCGGGAUAAGAAAGCAGAUCGCAUGAUCAGCUUUUAAAGGCGGGCGUAAAGCUGUCGCUAUGGGGAUGGGCCCCCGCGGUGCAUUAGCUAGUUGGUAAGUAAGGCUUUACCAAGGGCGAUGAUGCAUAGCCCGAGUUGAGAGACUGAUCGGCCACAUUGGGACUGAGACACGGCCAAAACUCCUACGGGGAGGCAGCAGUAGGAAUCUUCCAACAAUGGACGCAAGUCUGAUGGAGCAACGCCGCGUGAGUGAAGAAGGUUUUCGGAUCGUAAAAGCUCUGUUGUUGGUGAAGAAGGAUAGAGGUAGUAACUGGCCUUUAUUUGACGGUAAUCAACCAGAAGUCACGGCUAACUACGUGCCAGCAGCCGCGGUAAU
rnacentral:rRNA from 1 species